rnacentral:rRNA from 1 species
GGCAGCAGCCGCGGGAACACCGGCGGCCCGAGUGGUGAUCGUGAUUAUUGGGUCUAAAGGGUCCGUAGCCGGUUUGGUCAGUCCUCCGGGAAAUCUGAUAGCUCAACUAUUAGGCUUUCGGGGGAUACUGCCAGACUUGGAACCGGGAGAGGUAAGAGGUACUACAGGGGUAGGAGUGAAAUCUUGUAAUCCCUGUGGGACCACCUGUGGCGAAGGCGUCUUACCAGAACGGGUUCGACGGUGAGGGACGAAAGCUGGGGGCACGAACCGGAUUAGAUACCCGGGUAGUCCCAGCCGUAAACGAUGCUCGCUAGGUGUCAGGCAUGGCGCGACCGUGUCUGGUGCCGCAGGGAAGCCGUGAAGCGAGCCACCUGGGAAGUACGGCCGCAAGGCUGAAACUUAAAGGAAUUGGCGGGGGAGCACAACAACGGGUGGAAGCCUGCGGUUUAAUUGGACUCAACGCCGGACAACUCACCGGGGGCGACAGCAAUAUGUAGGCCAAGCUGAAGACUUUGCCUGAAUCGCUGAGGGGAGGUGCAUGG